rnacentral:rRNA from 1 species
UACGCAGGGGGCUAGCGUUGCUCGGAAUCACUGGGCGUAAAGCGCACGUAGGCGGACUCUUAAGUCGGUGGUGAAAUCCUGGAGCUCAACUCCAGAACUGCCUUCGAUACUGAGAGUCUCGAGUCCGGGAGAGGUGAGUGGAACUGCGAGUGUAGAGGUGAAAUUCGUAAAUAUUCGCAAGAACACCAGUGGCGAAGGCGGCUCACUGGCCCGGUACUGACGCUGAGGUGCGAAAGCGUGGGGAGCAAACAGG